rnacentral:lncRNA from 1 species
UCAAAUGAUCAUUAAGUGGCUUAAAAAUUUUCUUGAAAUUCCCGAUGUUUUUUUAAUUGCUAAGAUUUUAGAUCCUACAAUGAAAAUUGGCGGUGUUUAUCGCAUGUUAGAAAUUUAUUAUGGUACCUUUAGGGAUAUUUAUGAGUCAAGAUUAAAAAAUAAUGAAAUGCUAGAAUGGUACCUUCCCGCAUUAGAUGAUAUUAAACUUAGAAUAGAUAACACACUUAGAGCUUUGUUUAAUGACUAUGAACAAAAAUAUAUGCUUGCAAACCCCUCAUACUCUUCAAGUGGUACUACUAGUUCACAAGGUCAUUAUGGCUCCUCCACCUUAGGAAGUAGUUUUGAUCAAAACGAAUGGGCUCAAGCCGCUUAUUCAUUUAUGCAUACACAAAGGAGCUAUACUACUAACGAGCUAGAUAUAUAUUUGUCUAGUACAUUUGCUUUCAAAAAUGUAGGUGGUCAACAAUUUGACGUCUUGAGAUGGUGGUCCACGCACGAGAGGGAAUAUUCCAUACUCGCCACCAUGGCCAAGGAGUUAUUCGCGUUCCCGACCUCCACGGUCUCCGUCGAGCAAGCAUUUAGCGUUGGUGGGCUUGUCUUGGACGAAAGAAGAAGCAACAUGGAUCCUCGAAACAUGGAGGCCACCAUGUUGCUUGAUGAUUGGUCCAAAGCCGAGUUGCGAGCUCAAUAAAAUGAAUGGGAUCAAGCCGACGAGAGCCCAAACGAUGAAUUCACCAAGUUCGAACGAUCCGAGGCCGAAGAGGACUACGAUUAGGUAAGUUAAGGUAGGAGAACUACGUGGGCUUUGAUUCUUCAUUAUUCAAUGAAGAUACGUAGGCCACUCAAUUUUAAUAUUUAUAUUAAAAUUGAGCUCAAGCCCUUAAUUAUUAUUCCCUGAUCACUAAAUUAUUAGCAACAAAUUACCGCAACUAACACGGUGCAAUUGUAGCACAUAUAACAAGUAACCGAGUAUCGUAUCCACAGGGACUAUUACAACGAAUCACUCUAAGUAAUCCUAAUUGAACUCUAGUAAUAUUCAGGCAAACAAAAGAAGGAAGGUUUAAGUAACUCAAACUAAAACGCAAAUAGCAAUAAUUAAAAGAUCGUAGGAAAAAUCAAAUAUAAAAGACAACUGAUCCUAGGGUAGUAAAUUCAUUAACUAAAUCCACGUAAUAAAUCUAUUAAUCCUAUGUACCAGUUUAAUCCAGUUAUGAUGAGAGAUCACUUAAUUAAUCAAUUACUCUCGCUAGAGCAGCAACGAUAGUAGAUUAGUAAAUUAUCUAUCUCCGCUAGGUCUCAAGAAAAUCUACUAACUCCCAAUAGCUCCUAAGAAUAGCUCCCUAUGAUCCACCUAUCUCCGCUAGGUCUCAAGGUUAAAAUCAUAUCAUACAUUCCUGAAUCCGCUAAACAGUUAUCUCCGCUAGGUCUCAAACCGAAUAGCUAAACAUGCAAACUAUUGGCCAAAUAAUCCACAAGAAAUCAAGCACCAGGAAUUAUGAAUCAUAAACUGGAAGGCACAAAGGUAUUAACAAAUAAAUCACAUAAAUCUAACUAACUAUUUACAAACCCUAGAAUCAGAAAAGAAAACUAGCCAGACAUAGCAAAAUAAAACAAAAGCAUAAUUAAAUUGAACGCAAUUGUAAAAACUGAAUUAAAUAAAAACCGAAUUAAAUAAAAACUGAAGUAGCGGCUUGAAUCUUCAAUCUUGAUCCAAGCCUUAAAAACUAGAAAGCAAUAAAAUUCUAAAGCUAAAAACUAAAGUAUGAAUACUAGGGUUCAGGGUCUCCUUUAAUAGGUCAAAGGAAGGCAUAUUUAUAAGCUUCAGAUUUCCUUCGGAUCACCAUGAAAGUUGCCAUGCAAAGUAUAAUUCUAAUGGUAAUAGAAUCGUGUGAAUUAAGGCAACUCUCCAGCUAGAUGCGCACUCCGAAGAAAAUACUCCCACUCUUGCCAAUUUCGCAGCUCUCGCCAGAGGAACGGCUGUCUCAGGAAACGGGUCGCGUCAGAGAAAUGAUGAUUUCUCUGCUAUCGCCAGAGGAAUGGUAUCGCCAGAGGAAUGGGUGAUAUCUCUGGUACUUCGUCAGCGGAAUGGCGACUCCUCUGGAAUUGAGGACUUGACUUCUCUGGCAGCGGGGACUCGAUCCCGCUGCGCUGGACUCCGCUCUGAUGCUUUCUCCACUCUGAUGCUGGCGCUUCUUGGCAGAGGAAUAGGUGAUUCCUCUACUCUGGCUUUUGACUUCGCUGAUCUGGGCUUUGAUUUCUCUGGCGCUGGCGCUUUGAUUACGCUGAUUCCAGAGGAAUGGUGAUUCCUCUGCUCUGAAGACCAAAACACCUAAAAAUCGUGAGAAUCAUCCAAAAUUGCAUUCUUCCAUCUCGAAAGCCUAAAUCUCCUGCAAAGCAUAAAAUACACCAUAAACGCACCAAUUUCCAGAAGAUUAACUUAAGAUAUGCACAAACAAACCCCUUAAAAAUCGUGUAAAUUAAGCAUAAAUCAACUCCCCCAUACUUAGCCUUUUGCUUGUCCUCAAGCAAAAUCUAUAUGAAUCCUAGGAAAAGAUUGAUUUCAACAAUGUAAAUUUCCAUCCAUACAUUCACAAAGUCAAUUCAAAAUUUUACCUUCAACACACAUCUCUCGAUCAUGCAAGUAACUCAAAGUUUAAGAAGCAACAAAAGAGUAAUGCAAGUAAUUCGAUCAGACCCAAUUCUCCGCUAGAAGUGAAUUCCCUAAUGUGAUCGCCUUUAUAAUCAAUAUCACCAAUUUUCACACUUUGUGUGCUUUGAGAUUUCGACAGUUGAGCCAUAAUUCAUGAAAUAAAACCAUUUGGAUGUAAUCCAAAGUCUUUUCACGUGGUUUCCCAUGCUCAUAGUUAGACUAGAGGAGCAGAGACUCAGAGCUAUCGCAUUUCAGAACAGGCCAGAUGUUUCAGAGCUGGCAAUUUUGAAGUUGGCAAUUCGUCCAACAUUUUUCACAUUUCACAGAUAAGAUACGAUCGUAGGCAAUCACAAUGACAACACUCCUUCUAGCAUCUACCGGACAAAUCACGUUUUACUUACUUACAAAAGUGUUGCAACAAAACUCAUAAUUCUUUGCACAAUCAAGAAACAUAUAUCAAAAGUAAAACAAGAAUAACCACCAAACAUACACAAACCCGAAAUGCACAUCGAAAACCAUCUUCUCUUCCACAAAUUCAUAAAAAUUAGCCAGAUUCGAGACCAAAAACUAAGCAUAGAAAAAUCAAUUUCGCCCAAUUUUGAAAAAUAUAAGCAACAAAACACCACUCCCCCACACUUAAAGCAUGCCAUGUCCUCAGGGCAUAAAAGAAAUACGAAGAGUGUAGAAAACGUCCCUGAUUAUCGGCAAUGAAAAGCUGAACCAUCGUGAGAGGUGGUGAAAAGAGGGUUUGCGGUCUGUUGCAGAGGGGAGAGAUGGCUGCGCUGGCGGACAGAGCAGCGAAGAGAGUGGCUGCGCUGGAAUAUGAAGACCUCCAGAAAUCUGGCAGAGAAACACCUGACCCAAACAAAACAAAGAAACAAAGAGAAACAAAACGAAACUAAAACGAAACGAAGAAAGAAAACAAACAAAGAAAAACAAUUGGGUUACCUCCCAACAAGUGCUUAAUUUAACGUCUAGAGCUCGACGAUACCUCACAAUCAUGGAUCAACGAAGUUGACCACUUCCACGUCGCGGUCCAACUCUGCUUUGAAGUACGGUUUAAGGCGAUGGCCAUUAACAGUGAAAGUAGACCCAUUCGACGCAAGCAACUCAUAGGUCCCAUUCCAAUUGCUCUUGUGAACCACGUAAGGACCUCUCCAUCUAGACUGCAGCUUGCCAGGAAAUAGUCGAAGCUUAGAAUCAUACAAGAGUACCUCAUGUCCCGGCUUGAAUUCCUUUGUGCGGAUGCUCAAAUCAUGGAACUUCUUCGCCCUUUCCUUGUAGAUACGAGAACUCUCGUAAGCUUCAUUCCUCCACUCAUCCAACUCCGUCAACAUAUCUCGCCUUGUAUGACCGGCCUCCUUGAACUCCAAAUUGAUUCUCCUCGUCGCCCAAUAUGCCUUGUGCUCAAUCUCAACAGGUAAAUGACAGGAUUUGCCAAAAACAAGUUGAUAGGGAGACAUACCAAUCGGAGUUUUGUAGGCAGUGCGAUAUGCCCAAAGAGCAUCAUCUAAGUGCUUCGCCCAAUCUUUCUUGUUGGCGAUGCUCUUCUCCAGAAUCUGCUUGAUCUCUCGAUUCGCCAACUCUGCUUGUCCAUUAGCUUGAGGAUGAUAUGGAGUCGUCACCUUGUGCUUUACUCCAUACUUUGCCAACACGCUUGCUAGUAACUUGUUGUUGAAGUGCGACCCCCCAUCACUAAGCAACGCUCUCGGUGCUCCGAACCGAGUCAAAAUAUUCUUUUGCAAGAAUUUAAUGACUACCUUGGAAUCAUUGGUGGUAGUUGGGAUCGCCUCCACCCAUCGAGACACAUACUCCACAGCAAGCAAUAUGUAGGAAAAACCGCAAGAAGCAGGGAAAGGACCCAUGAAGUCAAUUCCCCAAACAUCAAACAGCUCCACCUCAACAAUGAUAUUCUGUGGCAUCUCAUCCCUCUUUGUAAUGUUGCCCAUGCGCUGGCAUCGAUCACAAGACUUCACGAAAGCAUGGCAGUCUGCAAAAAUUGAAGGCCAAUAGAAUCCACUAUGAUUUACCUUCAUGGCAGUGCGGUUGGCAGCAAAGUGGCCUCCACUAGGUGAGCUAUGGCACUCUUCAAUGAUCUUGGGCCAUUCAUGCUCUCUAACACAUCGCCGAAUAAAGCCAUCGGCGCAUCUCCGGUAUAGGUAAGGAUCCUCCCAAUAAUAGAACUUGACAUCAUGGAGGAACUUCUUCUUUUGAUAGUGCGACAAUCCCUCGGGAAGAGCUCCAAUAACCAAGUAAUUGCUAUACUUUGCAUACCAAGGAUCCUUAAAUAGCAGACCCAAAUUUGCUCAUCGGAAAGACUCAUUGAUGGCCAUCUUCGGAUCAUCCCCCUCGAUCGGAUUCUCCAAGCGAGACAAGUGGUCGGCCACCACAUUCUCACAUCCCUUUCGAUCUCGGAUCUCCAUAUCAAAUUCUUGCAGCAAUAAAAUCCAACGAAUCAAUCGAGGUUUGGAGUCCUUCUUCGUGAACAAGUAGCGGAUGGCGGCAUGAUCAGUGUACACAAUGGAAUGAGUUCCAAUCAAAUAAGAACGGAACUUAUCAAAGGCAUACACCACAGCUAGCAGCUCCUUCUCCGUGGUUGUGUAAUUCCUCUGAGCAGAAUCCAAAGUUUUACUAGUGUAGUAAAUUAUGUAUCAUAUCAAAUGAUCAUUAAGUGGCUUAAAAAUUUUACUUUGAAAUUCCCGAUGUUUUUUUAAUUUGCUAAGAUUUUAGUAUCCUACAAUGAAAAUUAGGCGGUGUUUAUCGCAUGUUAGAAAUUUAUUAUGGUACCUUUAGGAUAUUUAUGAGUCAAGAUUAAAAAAUAAUGAAAUGCUAGAAUGGUACCUUCCCGCAUUAGAUGAUAUUAAACUUAGAAUAGAUAACACACUUAGAGCUUUGUUUAAUGACUAUGAACAAAAAUAUAUGCUUGCAAACCCCUCAUACUCUUCAAGUGGUACUACUAGUUCACAAGGUCAUUAUGGCUCCUCCACCUUAGGAAGUAGUUUUGAUCAAAACGAAUGGGCUCAAGCCGCUUAUUCAUUUAUGCAUACACAAAGGAGCUAUACUACUAACGAGCUAGAUAUAUAUUUGUCUAGUACAUUUGCUUUCAAAAAUGUAGGUGGUCAACAAUUUGACGUCUUGAGAUGGUGGUCCACGCACGAGAAGGAAUAUCUCAUACUCGCCACCAUGGCCAAGGAGUUAUUCGUGGUCCCGACCUCCACGGUCUCCGUCGAGCAAGCAUUUAGCGUUGGUGGGCUUGUCUUGGACGAAAGAAGAAGCAACAUGGAUCCUCGAAACAUGGAGGCCACCAUGUUGCUUGAUGAUUGGUCCAACGCCGAGUUGCGAGCUCAAUAGAAUGAAUGGGAUCAAGCCGACGAGAGCCCAAACGAUGAAUUCACCGAGUCCGAACGAUCCGAGGCCGAGAAGGACUACGAUUAGGUAAGUUAAGGUAGGAGAACUACGUGGGCUUUGAUUCUUCAUUAUUCAAUGAAGAUACGUAGGCCACUCAAUUUUAAUAUUUAUAUUAAAUAUUAAAAUUGAGCUCAAGCCCUUAAUUAUUAUUCCCCCCCCC